rnacentral:rRNA from 1 species
GUCGAGCGAGAACCAGGGCUUGCCCUGGGGAGAGCGGCGAACGGGUGCGUAUCACGUGAGCAACCUGCCUCAGAGACCGGGAUAACUCGAGGAAACUCGGGCUAAUACCGGAUGCCCUCGGUGGACCGCAUGGUCCGGCGAGGAAAUGGAUUCCGCUCUGAGAUGGGCUCGCGGCCUAUCAGCUUGUUGGUGGGGUAACGGCCUACCAAGGCAACGACGGGUAGCUGGUCUGAGAGGACGAUCAGCCACACUGGGACUGAGACACGGCCCAGACUCCUACGGGAGGCAGCAGUAGGGAAUCUUGCGCAAUGGGCGAAAGCCUGACGCAGCGACGCCGCGUGCGGGAUGAAGGCCUUCGGGUCGUAAACCGCUUUCAGCAGGGACGAAAUUGACGGUACCUGCAGAAGAAGGCCCGGCCAACUACGUGCCAGCAGCCGCGGUGAUACGUAGGGGUCUAGCGUUGUCCGGAAUCAUUGGGCAUAAAGAGCUCGUAGGCGGUUCGAUUAGUCGGGUGUGAAAUCUCCACGCUCAACGUGGAGGGGCCACUCGAUACUGUCGUGACUCGAGUCCGGUAGGGGAGUUCGGAAUUCCCGGUGUAGCGGUGAAAUGCGCAGAUAUCGGGAGGAACACCAGUGGCGAAGGCGGAACUCUGGGCCGGAACUGACGCUGAGGAGCGAAAGCGUGGGGAGCGAACAGGAUU